rnacentral:rRNA from 1 species
UACGAAGGGGGCUAGCGUUGUUCGGAAUUACUGGGCGUAAAGCGUGCGCAGGCGGCUUCUCAAGUCAGGGGUGAAAGCCCAGAGCUUAACUCUGGAAUUGCCUUUGAGACUGAGAGGCUUGAGUACGGGAGAGGUGAGUGGAAUUCCCAGUGUAGAGGUGAAAUUCGUAGAUAUUGGGAAGAACACCGGUGGCGAAGGCGGCUCACUGGCCCGUAACUGACGCUCAUGCACGAAAGCGUGGGGAGCAAACAGG